UGUAUAAUUAAGUAUUAGUCGCUUUCCCACUCCACUCACGAGCCACGUGAACCCACCUGGGUCACGGGAUCAUCACUAGGCAACGCCAACGAAGCGUAGUGGGGCAUCAAGCCGAGUAGACCGAGAAAGGAGGAGGAGGAGUAUAAGGAGUUUGUUGUUGUUGCUACUGCUGCUUAUCCAGUCCAAAUGUCAGCUGUUUCACGCAACAUGUACCAUAAAAGCGGCACAGCCACAGCCAAACGCAGAAAAAGAGCUUAUCGAUCAAGCCCCGCAGGACAAGAGAAAAAGCAAAAACAAGAGGCACCCGAGCGCUGCUAACAACGUAAACAACAA
rnacentral:sRNA from 1 species